rnacentral:lncRNA from 1 species
GCUGCACAACAACAGGAAUUCUCCAUAUGUUAUUUGGUGAACAAUAUCCUUAGUGGCCCUGUUGUGCACUUGGCAAGUUCUAAAGGCAUGCCAGAAAGAGGACUGCACAAGCCCUAGUGGUUUCCAGAUCAGACACAGUCCAGGGAUUCUCGUAGCCACUUAAUCUCAGCACGCAUCUCCACCCCAACUUCCUUCCCAAUGGUAUGUGGUCUCGAAAACACAAAUGUUCGUGUUUCCUGAAGCUGAGCUGCAAAGGAAAAGUCCCCUCCCAAGAGGCAGAGCAGUAGGCUCUUGGUGGCCCUGAAAUUGUUCACUAAGAGUACAACAUGAUGCCACACUUGCCACAAUUAGCCAUGGGAAAACGGUCUUUUUUUCACCUCUGAUGUCAUAUAAUAGAUAAGACCAUGAUCUUAGAUUAUAUCAGUGAGCUGUGUUAUCUACAAACAAAGUAUUUUAGGAAGAGUUUGUUAAGAGGGCCGCAUUAUUGGAAGGCUAAUAACUUAAGAGUGUCUGAAUGGCGGGUGUUCCUCUCAAUCUCAUCUUGAGCUACUCUAUUGGCUGAAGAGUAGAGAAUGACGAAUGCCAAUGAUUCCUCUCCUCUAGUCAGAAGGGAUGUCUUUUCAAAGCCCAGCCCUCAUUUUUCAGUCUGAUGUAAGUAAAUUUACCUCUGUGUGCUGAGCCGAGCAGCUUUUCUUUGUCGUUUUUGUUUUUCUAAUAGCUGCUGCUCUGGCAGAGCUAUUCAUUUCAAAGGGAAGUUAGAAGCAUUCUUCACUCUUCCCCUUUUAGAUUAUUUGCAGUUACUGACUCUUCUGAAAUCUUAGAUUGGAACAGAAACCUAAAGCAUAGCACCAUUUUAACACACAGCAAACCACCAGCAUUCCUGGGAUCACAUUUCUCUAGAACAAGUAUUCAAUGUGAGGCAUAAGAACCAAGUCUAAAUAGGCUGAAAUUCACGAAAGAGAGGGAGCAUUAUCUUUUUUUAAAAAAAAUGGGCCUUCUCCAUACUGAUAGCAUGCUGAAGGAUAAUGAUCUUCUGGAAACAUUGUAUAAGCACCAGACAAGAGGUAGAGGAGUUAUAUCUGUUUUUUAGCAAAACUAACUGAUUUCUUGAGACAAUCAAAUCAGCUGUACUGGAGACAGUCAAUUAACUUUUGGAAACAUUGUUUAGGCAACAAAUAAGAGAGAGUGAAGUUCUUUUUUUGUUGUUGAUUUAUUUCAAGAAAAAGUCAAAUCAACUGCCCCAGACCAUUAAACUGAUAAAAAAAAAUCUAUGAUAAAAUCCAGUGGAUGAACCAUCACUAAAAGUUCUUAAUUUGUCCCUGCCUCAAUCUGUCCAACUAGUGAACAGAGCCAUUUGUCCUUCUGAAGAGAGUUUUACAUGGAGUAGGCCAAAAUCGCCUCCCCACAUGCACCAAGGUCUGGGAAUUCUCAACCUGUAUCACACAUUUAAAAGAAUAAUCCAUAGUUCAUUACCUUUCUGGUUAUCUCAUGUCCACUUCUUUAUCAAUCAACAUUCACCUCCUCUAAUCAUGGAACACACUUGGAUUCAAAAUGGUUUGGGGGUAACUGUCAAUCUCAAAGUCAUAGUAAGAGAAAUAGUAAAAGGAUAUCAGUGCAGUUGGAGUAAACCAUGAGGAAAAAGGAUACGGAACUAUGGUGCGGAAACCCUGCCAGGCAAGGAAGACUUUCAUGACUACCUCCUGAAUCAUCCCAUCCACCAGCAUUACCUUGAGGAAUUACAACCAUGUGUGUAAGUGAAAACCCCAUUACGCAGUCCUCAGCAUCUUAGCUGCUUCAUUGUGCCUAUUUACCUGAAAGGUCAUGAGAGUGAUAUUCUUCUACAUUGCACACUAAGAAACUGAUAUAAAAGUCUGCAGAAAGAGAGAAAAUAGCACCUUUCCAGGGCAAUUCUCAAAUGGCACUGCAUAUAAGGAGAAGGAAAAAAACUCGCAACCAAAAAUGAGCGCAUACCAUAGCUCAACCAAUUACUAAUCUGUGCCCAUCAUCUGAGAAGAUGCUUACAAAGAAUUACAUGGUCAUGUAUUGCAGAUUCACUUUUUUUAAUUAAGCAAAAAAAAAAUUAUGUUUACCUUACUCAACUUUUGGAUAUGAGAUCAAAAGUGAAGCAAGGCUUUUUCUUGGAUUGGAGCUAUUUAAAAUGUAAUGGGAAAAACAGUUGAGGAAGGAUUCCACACUUCAGCCCAGCUCUCAACUGCUUAAUGGUUCUUGACUAUAAAAUGGGGACAUUAUCUAUCUCACCCAACUGAGAUAAAUAUUAAGUAUGAUACCAUAAACAAAUGACAAAAGUAUAACUCAUAAAACAUAACUUAAACUCCACAAUAAGGAAAUACAUUAACACAAUCCACAUGCAGUUACCUUCAGAGCAGCGUGGCUUGCAAUUCAAGGGAUAAAGGAGAUGGAUCUGUAAUAUUUGCCUCCCUUCUCGAAGGUCAAGGUUUAGUGUCCAGGGAGUUAUUUUGGAGUCAACCAGACUUCAGAUUACUCUCGCUUUUGCCACCUCCUUGCUGUGUGACUUUGGGCAGCUUCUUUUAAACUCUUUGAGCUCUAAUUUCUGCAUCUUUAAAUGAGGAAUAAUAAUGUCUAUCUUAUAAGAGAAACUGGGAUGUUGAAAUAAAAUGUUAUAUAUAAAAGCACUUGACUUUAAAAAAAAAUAAUAAUAUUCAUGCAAGGGAAAGCGGACCAUACCAAAGACUUCUUUCUGAUGGACUGUUUGUCUUCCAUAUCUGUCUUGUUAUAACUCUAUGCAGUUAUGUUCUAAAUAUCUUCAAGUAUUCUGGAUUAAAUUAAUAUUAUAUUCUUUGUUUAAAAGUAUAUCAUUUCUGGGAGUUCCCGUUGUGGUGCAGUGGUUAAUGAAUCUGACUAGAAACCAUGAAAUUGCAGGUUUGAUCCCUGGCCUCGCUCAGUGGGUUAAGGAUCCGGCAUUGCCGUGAGCUGUGGUGUAGGUCACAGACGUGGCUCGGAUCCCGCGUUGCUGUGGCUCUGGCGUAGGCUGGUGGCUACAGCUCUGACUGGACUCCUAGCCUGGUAACCUCUAUAUGCCGUGGAUGCAGCCCUAGAAAAGAUAAAAAAAAAAAAGUAUAUCAUUUCUAUAUCAAGUAGAAACCUGGCAAAGGAAAAAUACUUUUGUAAAAAGCUUGGAAACGAAUAAUCUAUCAAUUUAGGAAAAUUCUUUAUGGUUCUAUGAAGAAUUUUUUUCCUUAUAAUGAGUUAUUACCUUUAACUCAUUUGCAAAAAAAAAAGAAACUCAAAACACAUUUUAAAAACAAAUAAGAUGGGAGUUUGCGUUGUGGUGUAGUGGUAACAAACACAACUAUUACCCUUAAGGAUGCAGGUUCGAUCCCUGGCCUCACUCAGUGGGUCGGGGAUCCAGCAUUCCCAUGAGCUGUGGUGUAAGCCACAGAUGUGGCUCAGAUCCCACAUUGCUGUGGCUGUGGCACAGGCUGGAAGCUGUAGCUCUGAUUUGAUCCCUAGCCUUGCAACUUCCACAGGUUCGGGCCUUAAAAGCAAAAAAAAAAAAAAAAAAAAAAAAAAAGAAAAGAUGUUUUAAACUUCUUAAAGGGCAAACUAUUUUAUAUGUUGUGUUUUAGGGAGUUAUUUUUAAGUAAUAAGUUUGUACUUAUCUUCAAAUUAAAAGAGAACAUAAUUGUCCAAUAAUCAGCUUUAAUUUUUGCCUUCUAUAAUUCAGAAUUUUGAAAGUCCUUGAUUCCCCCCAAACAAGUGUAAUACACAAGGUUUGCUGGCAGAACUAAAUUGUAAGCAUCUCCAGGCAAUAUGGAUAUACACACACACACACACACACACACACACACACACACGUACACACAUACUAAAAUUUCUGAAUCAGUAAGUCUUUUGGAAGAAUCUCCAGAAGUGUGCCGAGGCAUGUUUUUGGUGUUUUGCCAAAUUAUGUGCUUCUGUUUGUGGCUUUCAAAUAUGGAUUAGACAGACGUACAAGCAUGUACAGUUUGGCAAGUAGCGACAAUGGUCCAGUCUGAAUUUAGUAAUUUAAGCUUUUCAUUAGUCCUCAUAGGUGAAAGAAAGAAUUAACAACAACUUGUUUGAGCUCUAUCUUUAUAUCCCUUUGUCAUCCAUUCCUGUUCACUUGCCAUAGAUUAGAAGCCAAAGGAAUUCCAGAUGUCCUCUGCAGAUAGACCUAAAACAAGAGCUUCAAACAAAGGUUCAAAUGUCAAGUACAUUUAAACUGGAAACUGAACUUUCGUUCACUAUUAUCCUAAAGCCAUAACUCUGCUUUUCCAAAUAUCCCAUUGUACUUAACCAUCCAACCUGCCCUCCUUUUUUUCUGACAAAGAAACAAAGAUAAAAAUUACAGAAAGAGGUAAAAGGUCACUUGAGAUUUCGGUUUCUCAGGACUUCAAAUUAUCACACACAAAAGUAGACUGCUACAUGACAGACAGCUCACAAAGACAUGUCUGUCUCUGUGACUAUUUCUGGGAGAAGUUAUUUCCUUGCUGCCCUGCUCAUACCAUAGUCACUCUAAACUUGAGAGGUCAGUUUCUCAAGACCAUGGACUUGGGUGCUAAAUGCAGAAACAAUUCCAAAGCAAAGUGAAUCCUCAAUUCUGUCACAACCAUCCUCAUGAGACCAGUAUGUCUUUCUAUCAGGACCAAUAAAGGAAUCAUUAUAAUUGCCAGCCCUUUUCCAAAUCACCUUAGAGAACACCAAGGAAAGUUCAACUGAUUUGAACUAUUUGAUGUCUUCUGUUUAUGGGUAAGAAUACUCUUGAUAUCUAAUAGAAAAGUUCACAGGAACCAAGAGGUAAAAAGGAUUAAAUGCUGACAGUGGUCCAUUGUUAAUUGAGUCCCCUGUGUGAAGUUACAGAAAGAUUAGUUUAUACAGCUGCUGCUAUUUGUCAUAACAUUGCUAACAAGAUACAUAUGUUCCAGGGAAAUCUGACUUUGGACCUCCAAAACAGGAGGGCUCAAUGGUCUGAAACAUACAUGGAAAUCAACAUACAACACUACAGAGAAACAAGACUAGCAUAUCCCCUCUGGUUGUCUCAGAAGCCAAGGAAAGAAAAGAUAUGAGCUUCUGAGUGAGCACAGUCUAGAAUAUUUAGAUAUGGGGUUUAGUGAACAAAACCUGAAAAACAAAGGUAAGCUGGGGGUUGGGGCAAGACCCUGUAAGGAGAAUUACUAAGGUGUAAUGUUUGGAUUGUACAGUAGGGAAUUUAGACCUUUCACCUCAGCGUGAUUCAUAAGUGGUGACUUACUCUGGAGAAAGUGAAAACUAGGACUGAGAGAAAAUAUCUCCAGUCAGGGCAUGAGGCUAAAACGAUGUCAUGUGUCCCUUAUAUUUUCCAGCAGAAGUCUGCUCUGCUCAUCAAUUAUAGGAGCACUGAGGAAAAAACAUGUUAACUAACUUUAGGUUUUCAGUAAAGCAUCUAAGAUAGGUUACAAAUGCAAAAGGCUCAAUUUAAAAACAUUCUUCAUACUACACAUUAAGCAAGGUGUUAAGAACAAGUCAAAUUUUAUAUUCUCUGGAAUUUUUCAUUAUAUAUUUAUACACACACACACACUCACACAUAUAUGGGGGGAGCAACCCAAUCACAGUUCACAGAGCUCUAUAUUAUCAAAAUUUAUCCUUUUGGAAUGACUCUUAAUACUAUCACAUUUUAUGGCGAAACUGAAGUUUAAGUAUCAGUGGGUGAUGAUGGAUCCAAAAUGGAAGGCAGGGUUCCAUCAGAGUGCUUUCUCCUUCUGUAUUAAAAGGAGAACAUUACGUUUACAGAUCCCCAUGAUGAAAAAGUGUAUCAGGACUGAAAAGUGUGAAUCCUAUUUUCACUGUUAACAAAUACAUUCUCAAAGUUUCAUCCUUUUCCAUUUCACAUAUUUUACCUAGCACGCAGUGGCUACGAUUGGGAGCUUAUUGAAAACCGAAAUAUAGGGAAGUUGAGGCUAACAGUGGUCAGACUGUCUCCACAGAGAAAGCAGGUCAAAGGGCUUCAAGGACACUCCAAGAAAAGAGUUUUGAGGCUACAGGAAAUGAAAUGACAUAUUUCAAUGAACAAAAUAAUAAAUCUAGGAUUUUCUGUUGUGGCUCAGCAGGUUAAGGACCCAACAUCACCUCUGUGACGAUGUGGGUUCAAUCCCUGGCCUCACUCAGUGGAUUAAGGAUCCGGCAUUGCCGCAAGCUUCAGCAUAGAUCACAAACGUGGCUCGGGUGGAGUGUUGCUGUGGCUGUGGCAUAGGCCUAUAGCUUUAGCUCCGAUUCAAACCCUGGCCCAGGAAUGUCCUUAUGCUGCAGGGGUAGCCAUUAAAAAAAAAAUUAUAUACGUAUAUAUAAUUCAAUGUAAGUUGCUCAUCUACAGCUCAAUACACCCAAGAAAUUUUCUGGAUGAAUAUUUAUGGGCCACAACAUCACUGCUUCUCAUCUGAACUUGCUCUUUCAACACACUCCUUUCUUACUCUUCCUCUCCAGUUCAUUACCUUAUUAUGAGCUGGCUGAAGAGGCCAUUUUGAGCCUCAAUGGAAGGUACAAUUACCAUAAAACUCCUGACUGUAAAUAAUGGUCUUAUAAAAAAACAAUGCAAAUUCAAGAGGUGAGAAUGGUAUUAGAUUCCUUUUGCAUAUUCUUCAUCUAAAAUAAUCCUCCUUAACCCCUUAAAUCGUUUGUGCAUUUGACUAGAGCACCAAAAUACUGUUUCAACAUAAGUGGCAGGAUUGCUUUCUAGUAGCUGAAGUGCCCAUUCCAACCCUAUUAACUUGAUCCA